GAGCCGAGCCCGGAGUCCCCCGGUGGGUACGGGAGGGUCCUGGGCGGCCCCAGAGGGCUUGGAGGGUUUUAUUUUUAUUUUUUUUUUUUUUUAAUCUCUCCUCUGAGAUUCCCCCCUCUCCCGAUGUGCCUGCUGACCCCGCAGCCUGUGUGGACCCCAAGGAGUGCACCCAUGAGUGUGGUGGAGCUGAUGCCCUGGGGGCUGCGGGGUCUGAUGAUCGCGGUGAUGGUGGCAGCGCUGGUGUCACCCCUGACCUCCCCCUUCCCCAGCAGCACUCUCUCCUCCACGGGCACCUGGAGGGAGCUGCUCCUCGUGGGCAGGCACUGACCAGAGCUUUCGGGGAGACCCGUGGGGCCGGUCGAGCCUGCAGAGCGCCUCCACUCAGCCUGGCUUAUGCAAGGAACACAAACCCUUGGAUUAUUUUAUGGAUGAAAGAGCUGGAAAUGCAGACGGGGCGCUCGGUGCAGCCUCUCCCGGUGUCCCCCAGC